GGGUGAGCGCAAGAUCAAAAAAUCUUAGGGUUUGGAUGAAGGGUUUGGGAAGAGAGAAAAAAUAAGAAGAAAAUUAUUUUCUUCUCCAUCCUUCUUCUAUCUCUUCAUCUCCUCUAGAAGUUCAUCUUCAAUCUCUAAAAAAUUUUUAGAGAUUUGAAGAAAGGAUCCAGAUCAGUCAAAAAGACAGUCUUCGCGUGAACUAGUAUUCCUGAGAAGACUGA
rnacentral:lncRNA from 1 species